AUGCAUUAUUUGGCUGUUGACUCGCAUCUUGUGGAGCUGGACCUCUGGAAAACACGGGCGUAUGUUGGUCAUGAAUUCUACAAGCUGCCAUUUCUGGUCAUUUUUCCCUGUUCUGCCGAAUCCCAUGCACCCAUGAAUGCAGUCCAUUGGUUUUGGGAUGUGGUGAGCCGUAUGUGCAGCCCCACUUUUCUAAGGUAAGUUGCUGUACCAAGGUUAAAGCGUAAAGCACCCACAUGGCAAAGAGCUUCUGUAGCUGCAGCUUUAGGUGGCACUUGAGUAUCUUUAGGAAGCAGGAAGGCCUGUGAGCUACAAAGGGCUCUGUCUGCGAGGAUGAUGCCGUGAUGUCUGGCAGCGUUUACCGGCCGCAGUGAGGUCACUUCUAAAAGUAUCGGGUUGCAGCGCUGAGCCUCCUGGCGUGAUGGCAGGCAGCUCUCGUGAACCUCGGCCGCUCCUCAGCAGCCAUGGUUAUUCUUAGAGACACUUCCCAUUCCUCAGGAAAAGCUACUGUGAGAGGCUUAGCUGGCUUUUAUCUUUAGAAGCGAGUAUUUAAAUGUUGGACUAAUUUGUAGCUCAUUCGCAGCUCAGCUGCAGCCCUGCCAGCUGCACUGGGAUCAGUGACAAGUCUUUCUUCUGCCUCCAAAGCGCACUUGCAGACAGAUCCAGGGCCUAGGAGCACAUUGCCCCAGAGGCAACUCGGCUUUCUCGCAAGCGUGUAGCUGCCUGGGGGAGUUUUCCAGAACAAGUAGCAUAUUAGGUUUUCCCUAGCAAAGAGAGACCUUACAGGCGCACAGAAACCUCACUGGCUUCAUGAGCGUUGGGCUGGCAUUGCUGGGCUCUGCUCUGUUUUGGAUGGAGGUGGAGAAGGGUCGGUGGCCGCUACAUUAAAUAUUGCCCUGGAGUAGCAACCAGACUGUGCAGUGCAGAGGCAUGAGUACCCACCCAAGUGGCAGAAGGGGGUGAGAGGAAAAGCCUCUGUCCGCUUUGGGGAUGUUGGUUCAGAAUGGUAGGAGCAAGCUACAUUUAACCAAAGCAUCCUCCUGCUUGGCUGGGUGGCCAUCCGUGACCCAGAGACGGCAUUCCUGCAGGAAGCUAGCAGGACAUCUGAAUUAGAGACAGGCUGUGUUGGACCACAAGGAAUAAAAGUUCCUUUUUGGGUGGAGAUCGGAAAAUU
rnacentral:lncRNA from 1 species